rfam:Candidatus Kaiserbacteria bacterium RIFCSPHIGHO2_01_FTLL_54_36b rifcsphigho2_01_scaffold_7356, whole genome shotgun sequence.
AGCCUAAACCGCUCGGAGAUUUCUCUCGGAACGGCAUGGUUGGAGAAUCGCAAUCAACAUAGAGAACCCGUCAUUCAGGGCGUUGAUUGCGUUAUAUGGGGAAACCCGUAUAGGGCCGCAAGGCCU